rnacentral:rRNA from 1 species
AGAGUUUGAUCAUGGCUCAGGAUGAACGCUGGCGGCGUGCUUAACACAUGCAAGUCGAACGAAGCGAUGAAGCGGAAGUUUUCGGACAGAAGCUUGAUUGACUGAGUGGCGGACGGGUGAGUAACGCGUGGGAAACCUGCCUUAUACAGGGGGAUAACAGUUAGAAAUGACUGCUAAUACCGCAUAAGCCUGCAGCAUCGCAUGAUGCAGGAGGAAAAGGAGCAAUCCGGUAUAAGAUGGUCCCGCGUCUGAUUAGCUAGUUGGUAAGGUAACGGCUUACCAAGGCGACGAUCAGUAGCCGACCUGAGAGGGUGACCGGCCACAUUGGGACUGAGACACGGCCCAA